rnacentral:rRNA from 1 species
UCCUACGGGAGGCAGCAGUGGGGAAUAUUGCACAAUGGGGGAAACCCUGAUGCAGCCAUGCCGCGUGUGUGAAGAAGGCCUUCGGGUUGUAAAGUACUUUCAGCAGUGAGGAAGGCGGGUACGUUAAUAGCUGCAUUAUUUGACGUUAGCGACAGAAGAAGCACCGGCUAACUCCGUGCCAGCAGCCGCGGUAAUACGGAGGGUGCGAGCGUUAAUCGGAAUUACUGGGCGUAAAGCGCAUGCAGGUGGUUUGUUAAGUCAGAUGUGAAAGCCCGGGGCUCAACCUCGGAAUUGCAUUUGAAACUGGCAGACUAGAGUACUGUAGAGGGGGGUAGAAUUUCAGGUGUAGCGGUGAAAUGCGUAGAGAUCUGAAGGAAUACCGGUGGCGAAGGCGGCCCCCUGGACAGAUACUGACACUCAGAUGCGAAAGCGUGGGGAGCAAACAGGAUUAGAUACCCUGGUAGUCCACGCCGUAAACGAUGUCUACUUGGAGGUUGUGGCCUUGAGCCGUGGCUUUCGGAGCUAACGCGUUAAGUAGACCGCCUGGGGAGUACGGUCGCAAGAUUAAAACUCAAAUGAAUUGACGGA